rnacentral:rRNA from 1 species
CCUACGGGAGGCAGCAGUGGGGAAUAUUGGACAAUGGGCGAAAGCCUGAUCCAGCAAUGCCGCGUGAGUGAUGAAGGCCUUAGGGUUGUAAAGCUCUUUUACCAGGGAUGAUAAUGACAGUACCUGGAGAAUAAGCUCCGGCUAACUCCGUGCCAGCAGCCGCGGUAAUACGGAGGGAGCUAGCGUUGUUCGGAAUUACUGGGCGUAAAGCGUACGUAGGCGGUUAUUCAAGUCAGAGGUGAAAGCCUGGAGCUCAACUCCAGAACUGCCUUUGAAACUAGAUAGCUAGAAUCUUGGAGAGGUGAGUGGAAUUCCGAGUGUAGAGGUGAAAUUCGUAGAUAUUCGGAAGAACACCAGUGGCGAAGGCGACUCACUGGACAAGUAUUGACGCUGAGGUACGAAAGCGUGGGGAGCAAACAGGAUUAGAUACCCUGGUAGUCCACGCCGUAAACGAUGAUAACUAGCUGUUCGGGCUCUACGAGCUUGAGUGGCGCAGCUACGACAUAAGUUAUCCGUCCGUCGGGAGGUACGGUCGCGAGAAUUAAACUAACAAAGAAAGUUAGUACGGACGUGAGACGUAGCCGACGGACGACGACGAGGGAGGUUAGG